GAUGAACGCUGGCGGCGUGCCUAAUACAUGCAAGUCGAGCGAAUGGAUUAAGAGCUUGCCCUUAUGAAGUUAGCGGCGGACGGGUGAGUAACACGUGGGUAACCUGCCCAUAAGACUGGGAUAACUCCGGGAAACCGGGGCUAAUACCGGAUAACAUUUUGAACCGCAUGGUUCGAAAUUGAAAGGCGGCUUCGGCUGUCACUUAUGGAUGGACCCGCGUCUCAUUAGCUAGUUGGUGAGGUAACGGCUCACCAAGGCAACGAUGCGUAGCCGACCUGAGAGGGUGAUCGGCCACACUGGGACUGAGACACGGCCCAGACUCCUACGGGAGGCAGCAGUAGGGAAUCUUCCGCAAUGGACGAAAGUCUGACGGAGCAACGCCGCGUGAGUGAUGAAGGCUUUCGGGUCGUAAAACUCUGUUGUUAGGGAAGAACAAGUGCUAGUUGAAUAAGCUGGCACCUUGACGGUGCCUAACCAGAAAGCCACGGCUAACUACGUGCCAGCCGCCGCGGUAA
rnacentral:rRNA from 1 species